GCCAAAGAGAACAUACAAAAAUAACCAGGACCAAUUUUUGGCAGAAUAGUCAGCAGUAAAGCAAAAAAAGACAGAAAUAAAAAGAUUGGCAGUUUUUUUUUUUUUUUUUUUUUCCAUUCCGUUUAGCUUUUUUUUUUUUCCCAUCAGUACUACUAAUAUU
rnacentral:ribozyme from 12 species